UACGUAGGGUGCAAGCGUUAAUCGGAAUUACUGGGCGUAAAGCGUGCGCAGGCGGUUUUGUAAGUUUGUCGUGAAAUCCCCGGGCUCAACCUGGGAAUGGCGAUGAAGACUGCAAGGCUAGAAUCUGGCAGAGGGGGGUAGAAUUCCACGUGUAGCAGUGAAAUGCGUAGAGAUGUGGAGGAACACCGAUGGCGAAGGCAGCCCCCCUGGGUCAAGAUUGACGCUCAUGCA
rnacentral:rRNA from 1 species